CAAGGACCCGGUGAGAUUCCGGGUGGCUAUCCCGGCCGCCAAUCCGCCGGGGAAAC
rnacentral:ncRNA from 1 species